CGAGUUGAUUUUCCGGCCGCGACCGCCCAUAUCUCGGAUGCGGUUGAUGACCGGUUCGUAAUAACGUUUCAGGACCCGGGGGCGGUACCCGGCGCCUCCACCAUGAGCGCAUCGUGAUGCGCUCCUGUUGGGGGCGAAACAGGAUCGACUGGGCGGUAAAGGGAUCGCGAGUCCUAUCUCGCUUCGGCGGGAGACGGUGCGACUGUCGGUAAGGUUUCGACCGGUUUGGCGUAGGUAACCCCUAUUCCAGGCAUCUGACCAAAACUCUAAAUGCCAACGAUAACGUUGUCAUGGAUGCCCGCCUCGCGGCGUAAGCAUCUUGCGGUAGGGUAACCGUAGAAACAGAACCCGGAGCU
rnacentral:tmRNA from 1 species